AAUGAUCUCCAGAUAGAAAAAUCAAGCUUUAGGAGGCAGAUGGUGGGCGUGAUACAUGAGAACAAUAAUCCUUCAAUACAACUGCGUAGAAAGAAUGAGUAAGGCCAGCAAAACCAGUAGCUGCACAAUCUUCACUGAGUUGAUUAACUGAGUCGCAACAUUCUGGGCCAAUAAGAGAAACAUUGUGAUUCCAAAUCGAUGCUAUAAGCUCACCAACGCACUUCUUUUCAACCUGGAAAUCUUGGAAGCACUUCACAAUUUUAGGGUUCCAUUUGGG
rnacentral:misc_RNA from 1 species